rnacentral:rRNA from 1 species
CCUACGGGUGGCAGCAGUGGGGAAUAUUGCACAAUGGGGGAAACCCUGAUGCAGCGACGCCGCGUGAGUGAAGAAGUAUUUCGGUAUGUAAAGCUCUAUCAGCAGGGAAGAAGAAAGACGGUACCUGACUAAGAAGCCCCGGCUAACUACGUGCCAGCAGCCGCGGUAAUACGUAGGGGGCAAGCGUUAUCCGGAUUUACUGGGUGUAAAGGGAGCGUAGACGGCUGUGCAAGUCUGAAGUGAAAGCCCAGGGCUCAACCCUGGGACUGCUUUGGAAACUGUGGAGCUAGAGUGCUGGAGAGGUAAGUGGAAUUCCUAGUGUAGCGGUGAAAUGCGUAGAUAUUAGGAAGAACACCGAUGGCGAAGGCAGCCCCCUGGGACGCAACUGACGCUCAUACACGAAAGCGUGGGGAGCAAACAGGAUUAGAUACCCCUGUAGUC